rnacentral:rRNA from 1 species
CCCUUAGAUGUUCUGGGCCGCACACGCGCUACACUGAAGGAGGCAGCGUGUACUCCUGGAUCGAAAGAUUUGGGUAACCCGCGAAUCUCCUUCGUGCUAGGGAUUGAGGUUUGCAAUUAUCCUUCAUGAACGAGGAAUUCCCAGUAAGUGCAAGUCAUAAGCUUGCGCUGACUACGUCCCUGCCCUUUGUACACACCGCCCGUCGCUACUACCGAUUGAAUGAUUUAGUGAGGACUUCGGACUGGGACCGAUGCGGCUGUCGGGCUGCGUCGGUAUUCUGGAAAGAUGUCCAAACUGUAUCAUUUAGAGGAAGUAAAAGUCGUAACA